rnacentral:rRNA from 1 species
GACGAACGCUGGCGGCGCGCCUAACACAUGCAAGUCGAACGAGCGAGAGAGAGCUUGCUUUCUCGAGCGAGUGGCGAACGGGUGAGUAACGCGUGAGGAACCUGCCUCAAAGAGGGGGACAACAGUUGGAAACGACUGCUAAUACCGCAUGAAAUGUUCGGAUGGCAUCGUCUGAACAUCAAAGAUUUAUCGCUGAAAGAUGGGCUCGCGUCUGAUUAGAUAGUUGGUGAGGUAACGGCUCACCAAGUCGACGAUCAGUAGCCGGACUGAGAGGUUGAACGGCCACAUUGGGACUGAGAUACGGCCCAG